rnacentral:lncRNA from 1 species
CAACAAUCCGUGCACACGAACAAAACUUGUCAAUACAAGAUUUUUUUUUUAAUUAAAAUUUUUUUUUUUCUUCGAGAGAGAAAGUUGUCACGGAAAACUUGUUGACCGUACACACGAGAAGGUAAAUUUGUCAAGGAGAACUUGUCAAGAAAAAACUUUUCACACAAGAAGGUAAAUUUGUCAAGGGAAAACUUGUCAAGGAAAGCUUGUUAACCGUACACACGAGGAAGUAAAAUUGUCUAGGAAACUUAUUGACCGUACACACACGAGAAUGUAAAUUUGUCAAGGAGAACUCGUCAAGGGAAAACUUGUCAAGGAAAGCUUGUUGACAAGAAGGUGAACUUGUCAAGGAAACUUGCUCGUCUAUAUACUUACGAAGCUUUCAUUUUUGUAUUGGCUUCCACCCAACCAUCAGACCAUUAUAUAUAUAUGCACUUAAAUGAUCCGGUCCACGCCUUUAUGAUUAUUUGCAUUUAAAUAUAUAGAUUUUAAUAAACUUUGCAAUAAGAUGCGCAUGUCAAUAUUAUAUUAAGUGACAGUGUAUAUGGACGAAUAACCUGUAAUGACAUAAUUGUCAGUUAUAUUAAGUGACAGUUAUUGAAUUGAAUUUGUAAAUUGCGACAGCUGUAUCUCUAAAAGGCCCAAACUCCCUGAAGUGAAUUAGUUGUGUCGGGUUGAAGUAAAAAUGUCCGGAAACAAUACAAUGACAAUGUAUACUAACCUAGCCAUAGGUGAAAGUGCUACGGUGAUUUUGAUAGUGUUUACAUCAAUACAAGUGCUUGUUGGCUCAACGGCAAAUUUCAUUGUCAUUUUUACAAUACUAAGAUCGCGAGAACUCACAAAGCGCUCGGAGGAUCGACUUAUACUAAACUUGGCCUUGGCAGAUUUCCUGACGCUGACGACGCUCAUGCCUCUACAUAUCUACAUACUUUGGCAAGGGCACAUCACAAUGGCAGUACAAAGGAGAUACGAAGCCUUGAAUUCAUUGGUUCUUUACUACGGAGGCAAUGCUGUGAUGGCCAUAGCUUGCGAUAGAUUUAUAGCAGUAUUACUACCAAUGCGCCAUUCGAUAUUGAUGUCAAAAAGAACGACGUUGUUCAUGGCAUUUUUAACAUUUAUUGUAGCAGUUAUCCUUGCUGUCCUAGACUAUCUGAGCGCCGAUCUGACGGAGAAAUCACGCAAGCUGUUGAUCAAAAUACUGUUCAUGCCAUACAACGCUAUAUUUUGUACAGCUCUAGCAGUCAUAUACAGUAUUAUCUUGUACAGUACAUUAAAACAAGCUAGGAGGAUUAUGAAACAGAGAAAAAGCAUCGGAGCUCAGUUUUGCAACUAUUCCAUGCGACCUCUCGUAAAAACAACUCUGAAAAUAACUUUGUUGGUAGUGCUAUAUUACGCGACGUAUCUUCCUUUAUCGAUUUACAUAUUCCUGUAUUCCUCAAUCGUGGAAAAUCAAGAAAGAAUCGCGCAAACAACUACGCGCUGUUGGAUUUACUCGUUUCUAUUCUUGAAUUGUUGCGCGAAUCCCUAUGUUUACGCGUUACAGACAGAAAGAUUCAAAAAGGCUGUUUAUAAAGCAUGGUUAAUCAAUAUUCGGUCAAAAAGGACCGCAACUAUAUCGAGAUAAUAGUAAAAAGUUAUUUUAGCCCUAUAUUGAUAAGAGGAUCCAAUGAUCAUCAUAAAUUGUAAAUGUA